rnacentral:lncRNA from 1 species
CAGUUUAUUCUGGUGCAUAGUUUUGGAAGUUCCAGUCCACGAUUGGUUGGCCCAUUGCUCUGGGCCUAUGUUGAGGUGGCACAUCAUGGCAGAAGUGCAUGAGGGAGUGAAACCAUUCAUUUUGAGCUAAGGAUGUAACUCCAUGGUAGAACACUUGCCUAGUAUGUGUGAGGCAACAAAAAACUCACCUACCUUAGGAGAUAGGGAGUGAAAAGGAAGAGGAAGAAACCCAGGUCCCCUUUGAGGGCAUACCCCCAAGGCCCUAAAGGACCUCCCACUAGUCCCACCUCCUACAGUUUCCACCACCUCUUAAAAGCACCACCAUGGGGACCAAGCCUUUAACAGUGGAUCUUUGAAGAUAUUCAAUAUCCAAACUAAAGCAUCAUUCUGUCUUCUUUUAAAACACCCUCUCCCAUUCCAGUUUGACACUGACAGGAGAGCAAUGGAUUGAAGUUCACAAUAUUAAGCACCAUUUUAUAAGAGAUUUAACAACUUUCAUGCUGACAGGUACUGGUGGACCAAUAAGCAGGCAGAAGAGCUGCCUAGAUCUCCAGCAUUCUCUCCAUGGUGGCCAUUGUCAAUGAGGUGGCAUCUAGUAUCCAUAAUAAAACAUGCAGUGUGUUCUAUUUUCAAUGGUUCAAAGAAGGUUUCUAAGAAAAUAUAUUAUUUAGUCUAAGAUGGAGAUUGCUUUGUUGACAUAACCUACCAAUAGUCAUAAAUGUUAUGAGUGAUUUAUAGGAUAAAGCUGCAUCACAAAUUUAUAAAUUUUCCCAUCUUUGUAAAAGUGCUAAAUAGUUAAAUUACAUAAUGGUUUGCUUUUUAAAAAAGCUAGUUUAUUUUGUAAUUGUAAUUCACAUUGGAAUUUUUGGUGCCUGGAAUAAUUUUUUAUGAAAUAUCCUUUCAUAUACAUGUUUUUGACCUGAAGUAAUUUUUGUUAGUGAAAGGUUAUGUCCAUUAUAUACCAAUACA